rnacentral:rRNA from 1 species
GUUGAACGCUGGCGGCAGGCCUAACACAUGCAAGUCGAACGAGUGGCGGACGGGUGAGUAAUGUCUGGGAAACUGCCCGAUGGAGGGGGAUAACUACUGGAAACGGUAGCUAAUACCGCAUACCAUCAGAUGUGCCCCGAUGGGUUUAGCUAGUAGGUGGGGUAAUGGCUCACCUAGGCGACGAUCCCUAGCUGGUCUGAGAGGAUGACCAGCAACACUGGAACUGAGACACGGUCCAGACUCCUACGGGAGGCAGCAGUGGGGAAUAUUGCACAAUGGGCGAAAGCCUGAUGCAGCCAUGCCGCGUGUAGGAAGAAGGCCUUCGGGUUGUAAAGCACUUUCAGCGAGGAGGCGUUACUCGCAGAAGAAGCACCGGCUAACUACGUGCCAGCAGCCGCGGUAAUUC